UGGCCCAGCGUCAUCCGGGUUAGGGUUUGACCAGGUUAGGCCAUCGUUGUAAAUAAGAUUUUGUUCUUAACUUACUUACUUAACUUAAAUAAAGGUCUCUGCCCCACCUCUGGCUCCCCCAGACAUUAGACCUGAGCUGGAACCUAUUCUCCUGAGGGGGUCUGUAUCUGGAGGACCAGCGGUGGAGGACAGGUUGAGGGGGCAGCAGUGCACACAGAGCAAACACUUCCUCACUGCACUGGCACUCUGCCAGAAUGGAAGAAAUGUGAAGGCAAACAAGGUCCCCGGUGUACCAGGCUGCAUCCCCAGACGAAGAGGCCCCGGUGUACCAGGCUGCGUCCCCAGACGAAGAGGCCCCGGUGUACCAGGCUGCGUCCCCAGACGAAGAGGCCCCGGUGUACCAGGCUGCGUCCCCAGACGAAGAGGCCCCGGUGUACCAGGCUGCGUCCCCAGACGAAGAGGCCCCGGUGUACCAGGCUGCGUCCCCAGACGAAGAGGCCCCGGUGUACCAGGCUGCGUCCCCAGACGAAGAGGCCCCGGUGUACCAGGCUGCGUCCCCAGACGAAGAGGCCCCGGUGUACCAGGCUGCGUCCCCAGACGAAGAGGCCCCGGUGUACCAGGCUGCGUCCCCAGACGAAGAGGCCCCGGUGUACCAGGCUGCGUCCCCAGACGAAGAGGCCCCGGUGUACCAGGCUGCGUCCCCAGACGAAGAGGCCCUGGUGUGGGCAGGCAGGGAGCUGGGCUGGGUCUUCCUCUCCAGGACCAGGGACUCUCUGACAGUCAGUGAGCUGGGCCUCAAACCCCACUACCAGCUCCCUCACCCUGCUCGACUUCACCAGACAUGUCUGUACUGGGUGAGACUGACGUUACCAUUUGACCAUGCUAGAAGGAGGAAUAUAUAACCCUGAGCUUACCCCUAACAAAUAUACACAAAUUAUGUACUUUCUCAAAAGAUCUGACAGAAUUGCCUCUUUUGUCCUUUCUAGCAUGGCUAUCUAGUGACUACCUGAGUGAGACUGGAUGCAUCUGCCCCACAUCUCCCAUAUCCUGGCACCUUUCCCUUUCUCUCCCUUUAUCUCUCUAUCCCCCAGUUUCUGGUCUUGAUGUAUUCUCCUGACAUGUGUAGAUCUGCUCUAUCCUCUGAUGUAUGUUGUUGUGUGUGCAGUGCGGGAGCCAGAGGGAGGGCUGAAGUUAUACUGUAAAGGUGCUGACAUAGUGAUCUUGGAGAGACUACAAAAAGACUGUCCAUAUCUGGAGACCACUGAGAAAGCUUUAGAUCUGCUGGGGGUGACGGCUACAGAGGACUGGCUGCAGGACGGGGUCCCUGAGACCAUCUCCUUGCUCAGACAGGCUGGACUCCAAGUCUGGGUGCUGACCGGGGACAAGAAAGAGACAGCGGUGAACAUAUGAUCCUCCUGCAGACUUCUGGAACCUGAUACCAGACUAUUAGAAGGGGAGGAACGGAGGUCAUAUGCACACGCACACACACACACACACACACACUAUACUUUACCAAUAUACUGUAUCUAUUAGUGUGUUUCCUGCCGCGGGCAGUCUUCUCCUGAUCCAGAGAGGACUUUCUCCAAGGGCAAAGAGACAUAACUAUGGUGUGUGGACAGAAAGAUGGCUGGAGAGAAAUCAGCAUUGGUCCUCAAAGGCCCUGAACUGGUAAACAUAUGGAUAAGGACUAAUAGAGCUUGUCUUAAGACUACAAGACUGAAUAUCUUAUAGCUUAGUGAUGAUCCGUAUCGUUUAGUAGUAAAGUCGAGUAAACAUUCUCUUUAUCUGAAGGCUGCCUUCUCUUGUUGUUUCUUCUCAAGAAAGCAUCACACAAAAGGCAGUGUCAUGUUGAUAGUGUUCAGGCAGAGUUUGUGCCAGGUUCAUGUCCCUGGCAGGGCUGUGCCAGUCAGUGCUGUGUUGUCGUGUCACUCCGGGCCAGAAGGCUGAUGUGGUCAUGCUCAUUGGGAAACACACCACCUCCAUCACUAUGGCGAUAGGCGAUGAUGCCAACAAUUUGAACCUGAUCAACGGUGAGUGUGAUGGACAGAGAGGUUGGCAGUGAAAUUAUGUCUGUUCAAAGGCAGGUUGUAUUUAACAUGUUUUCUCUCCCCCUUCUCCUUCCUCUACCGGCUCAUAUAGGGGUAGGUUUGGCUGGUGUAGACGGGGGUCAGGCAGGGCAGAAUGCUGACUAUGCCCUGCCCCAGUUCAGCUUCCUAUAGAGACUCCUAUUGGUCCACAGAAGCUGGUCGUACCGCAGCAUCGCUGUCUUCCUGCACUACUUCCUGUACAAUUAAAAUCAAACUUUAUUUGUCACCUGCGCCGAAUACAACCGUUAAAUGCAUACUUAUAAGCCCUUAACUAACAGUGCAGUUCAAGAAAGAGUUUAGAAAAUAUUGACCAAAUAAAACUUUUUUUUAACAAUAACGAGCAUAUAUACAGAGGGUACCGGUACUGAGUCAAUGCGCUGGGGUACAGGUUGUAGAGGUAAUGCAGGUAGAGGCUUUGCUCUGGUACACAUCUGGUUCAGCUUCUUCAAUGGCUUCAGUGUCCAGGUUAGAUGGUCCAACUGGUCACAUUGGUUUUGCAUCAUAAAUGGAACUGCAACCUUUUUUAACAGACCCCAAUGUGUUUGCCUUUUUCUGGAGCUGUUUUCUUCCAGUCUCUGUAUGAGAAUUGGUUCAUCAUCCUGUACAACGUCUUCUACACCGACAUGCCAGUAGAAUGCCUGGGCUUUUUUGAGCAGGAGAUGAGAGCAGUCUGAGCUCCAUAAGGUUGGCCAGUGACAGGAGCUGUCCAACCCCUGGCUGCUGACUGCCACCCUGUUCUCUGCCCUCUACACCUCCCUGGUCCUCUUCUUCGUGCCCCUGGGGGUUUUCUAGAACUCUGCUCUGGACUACCAGACCAUGGCCGUUACCGUCACCUUAGCAUCAGUGUUCUCUGCCCUCUACACCUCCCUGGUCCUCUUCUUCGUGCCCCUGGGGGUUUUCUAGAACUCUGCUCUGGACUACCAGACCAUGACUGUUACCGUCACCUUAGCAUCAGUGUUCUCUGCCACCCUUGUGGUUAGAAUGUAUGGAAUGGACGUCAACAGAGUUCUGUGGAGUUUAGCAAUCACUGUUGAUUGUUGUCUAAGGCUGCAGAUUGAAUGUGAUGAUUUUGAUAUGAAUGUAUGACAUGAUAUUUAAUUUAUGUUAUAUUUUGGUUUGUGUUCCUUAGAUUAUUCUCCUGACCAGACACAGGACUGUGGAGUGUGGCUGCGUAGAGCUCUCUCUCUCUCUCUCUCUCUCUCUCGCUCUCUUGCUUCUCCAUAUCUUUGGAAGAAAUUAAUUUGUUCAAAACUGUU